UACGUAGGGUGCGAGCGGUGUCCGGAAUUAUUGGGCGUAAAGAGCUUGUAGGCGGUUUGUCGCGUCUGCUGUGAAAAUCCGGGGCUCAACCCCGGACUUGCAGUGGGUACGGGCAGACUAGAGUGUGGUAGGGGAGACUGGAAUUCCUGGUGUAGCGGUGAAAUGCGCAGAUAUCAGGAGGAACACCGAUGGCGAAGGCAGGUCUCUGGGCCACUACUGACGCUGAGAAGCGGAAGCAUGGGGAGCGAACAGG
rnacentral:rRNA from 1 species